rnacentral:rRNA from 1 species
GACGAACGCUGGCGGCGUGCUUAACACAUGCAAGUCGAACGGAAAGGCCCUGCUUGCAGGGUACUCGAGUGGCGAACGGGUGAGUAACACGUGGGUGAUCUGCCCUGCACUUCGGGAUAAGCCUGGGAAACUGGGUCUAAUACCGGAUAGGAGCCAUUCUUAGUGUGAUGGUUGGAAAGUUUUUUCGGUGUAGGAUGAGCUCGCGGCCUAUCAGCUUGCUGGUGGGGUAAUGGCCUACCAAGGCGGCGACGGGUAGCCGGCCUGAGAGGGUGGACGGCCACAGUGGGACUGGGAAACGGCCCAGACUCCUACGGGAGGCAGCAGGGGGGAAUAUUGCACAAUGGGCGCAAGCCUGAUGCAGCGACGCCGCGUGGGGGGUGACGGCCUUCGGGUUGGAAACUCGUUUCGCUAGGGACGAAGCUGUUUGUGACGGUACCUAGAGAAGAAGCACCGGCUAACUACGUG